AGUUUAUGAGAGCAGAUACACAGAAGAUAAAUAGAGACCAUGUCCUUGUAAUGAUGGCAACUGUUACCGGAGUGGAAGAAGCUUCAUUCUGGUGUCCUCAGAGAACAAGAAGCCAACAGCUGGUUGUUUAUUGAAGCACAAUGCAGAACACACUCAUCCGACCCUUACUGACAAAGAAGACUCUGAGUCAGCUGCUGCUGCUGUACUCUGAGCCAACGACUUCAGUGACCUCCCAGUGAUGAUUACAAGAAACCUUUUCUGAGUACUCAGCCUGUUCCACAUUCAAUGUCAUCUUUGUGCAAGAGGUAGUCCAGGUUCCCAUUCCAUGUAACGUAUCUGCCAACAGAAGAGAUCGUUUUCUGUCCAAGCACGAGUGAGUGCUUGCUUCCGGAGCCAUGUUAACU
ensembl:lncRNA